rnacentral:rRNA from 1 species
AUGAACGCUAGCUACAGGCUUAACACAUGCAAGUCGAGGGGCAGCAUGGUCUUAGCUUGCUAAGGCCGAUGGCGACCGGCGCACGGGUGAGUAACACGUAUCCAACCUGCCGUCUACUCUUGGACAGCCUUCUGAAAGGAAGAUUAAUACAAGAUGGCAUCAUGAGUCCGCAUGUUCACAUGAUUAAAGGUAUUCCGGUAGACGAUGGGGAUGCGUUCCAUUAGAUAGUAGGCGGGGUAACGGCCCACCUAGUCUUCGAUGGAUAGGGGUUCUGAGAGGAAGGUCCCCCACAUUGGAACUGAGACACGGUCCAAACUCCUACGGGAGGCAGCAGUAAGGAAUAUUGGUCAAUGGGCGAGAGCCUGAACCAGCCAAGUAGCGUGAAGGAUGACUGCCCUAUGGGUUGUAAACUUCUUUUAUAAAGGAAUAAAGUCGGGUAUGGAUACCCGUUUGCAUGUACUUUAUGAAUAAGGAUCGGCUAACUCCGUGCCAGCAGCCGCGGUAAUACGGAGGAUCCGAGCGUUAUCCGGAUUUAUUGGGUUUAAAGGGAGCGUAGAUGGAUGUUUAAGUCAGUUGUGAAAGUUUGCGGCUCAACCGUAAAAUUGCAGUUGAUACUGGAUAUCUUGAGUGCAGUUGAGGCAGGCGGAAUUCGUGGUGUAGCGGUGAAAUGCUUAGAUAUCACGAAGAACUCCGAUUGCGAAGGCAGCCUGCUAAGCUGCAACUGACAUUGAGGCUCGAAAGUGUGGGUAUCAAACAGGAUUAGAUACCCUGGUAGUCCACACGGUAAACGAUGAAUACUCGCUGUUUGCGAUAUACAGCAAGCGGCCAAGCGAAAGCGUUAAGUAUUCCACCUGGGGAGUACGCCGGCAACGGUGAAACUCAAAGGAAUUGACGGGGGCCCGCACAAGCGGAGGAACAUGUGGUUUAAUUCGAUGAUACGCGAGGAACCUUACCCGGGCUUAAAUUGCAGAUGAAUUACGGUGAAAGCCGUAAGCCGCAAGGCAUCUGUGAAGGUGCUGCAUGGUUGUCGUCAGCUCGUGCCGUGAGGUGUCGGCUUAAGUGCCAUAACGAGCGCAACCCUUGUUGUCAGUUACUAACAGGUUCCGCUGAGGACUCUGACAAGACUGCCAUCGUAAGAUGUGAGGAAGGUGGGGAUGACGUCAAAUCAGCACGGCCCUUACGUCCGGGGCUACACACGUGUUACAAUGGGGGGUACAGAGGGCCGCUACCACGCGAGUGGAUGCCAAUCCCCAAAACCUCUCUCAGUUCGGACUGGAGUCUGCAACCCGACUCCACGAAGCUGGAUUCGCUAGUAAUCGCGCAUCAGCCACGGCGCGGUGAAUACGUUCCCGGGCCUUGUACACACCGCCCGUCAAGCCAUGGGAGCCGGGGGUACCUGAAGUGCGUAACCGCGAGGAGCGCCCUAGGGUAAAACUGGUGACUGGGGC